ACUGCUACAGUGGAGUGUGUGCUGGGAAAGAAGCCUGUUAGGACCAGUGCUGCUGGUGUGAGUCCCAGAUGGGUUUUACCCCGAGGCAAUGUGGCCUGCAGGUGGGGGGCGGAGGGCUGGGCUUGGACAGGCAGCGCUGCGUUCCUUCACACAUUCCCUGCCUUCUCUCUCAUCUCCCCAGACUCAUUCAACUUCUGCCUGUUACCUGUGAUCAUCUCAGCCUCCAUGAGAGCAGGAAAUGGCUGUGGAGCACUUAUCUCAGGAGCCUGAGCUUUGCAGAGGUGGCCAUGUAUUGCAGCAGGGAAGAGGGAGCACUGCUGGAUGCUGCGCAGCAAACACUCUACCAGGAUGUGACGGUGGAGACAUAUGGGUCUGUGGCCUCACUGGCCCCCAAACCCAUGGUGAUCUCUGUGCUUGAAGGAGAGGAAGGCCCCUCGAUCCCAGAUGUGCACAGCCUGAAGGACACGGCAGGAGACCUCAGCCCAGCAGGAUAUGGGAUCACAAAUACGAAGGAGAGGCUGCAGGAGAUGGGUGUGGCUGGAAGAAAGUGGAAUGGUGCCUCAGUGGGGAGAAUCAGAAGGGGUGCCCAAAGGGGUCGGGAGCAAGGGAAGCACUUCAGGAAGCCACAGGGAAACCAUCCAGAAGAGAGAGGGGAACCCCUUGGUCUGCAGCACAGGCCAAAAGCCUCUUGAAGACCCUGAGGAGCAAGGAAGCGUGCCAGAAGAGAAGGCAGAACCCAAGGGGCACCGGGGACUUCCAACACCUUUCCUUUCAGCAGGCUUCUCCACUGGAAUCUGCAGCUGAAUGUGCCAGCUCCUUUGCACAGACUCCCACGUGCUUUCCUCAGGGAAGUCCCUGCACACAGGCAUGGAAGGAGGCCCAGAACAUGAGAACCCUCCCUGCCCAGGACUGUUCCUGCGAUGUCAUCUGCAGUAGUGGAGGUCUCACCUAGCUGUGCUGAGAGCUGGGAGAGGGGAGAGGCAGAGGGAGGCCCAGGUGACAUGGCGGGGAGGUGGCUGGGAGGCCAUUCCUCCUCCAGGACCGGGACUGCCCGGGGGCAAGCAGCACACAGUGGGAUGUCAUGGAAUGUGGCACGACUCCUGUGACACAGAGGACAGCUCAGGCAGGGAGGCAGCUGCAUAGCCAGCAGGGCUGGGCUGCUGCUUGUGAGGUCACCUCACUGCAACACUGGGCUUGGCCACGAGCAGGCGGGCAGUGAGAGAGCAUUGGGAAGAGCAGCUGAGAAAGCUGCAUGCAGGGGCCUGGGCCCUGGUGAGGCCCUGCCUCAGUGACACUGCCGGGAUGUGGGGGAGUAGGGGAUGAGGCAUGGACACUGCCCAGGGUGGUAGUGGGGUGAGAAGGGAGCAGAGGGGCAC